GUCCAGAGCUUAGAGGCUUCAGAGUAGGGCCUGAUAGGCCUGGCCCCCCAAGCCCCUCCCCAAGUACCCAUCCAGCUCCGGGGAGAGAGCCUACUAUAAACUCCCAGGGUGGGAGACAGCGAAUCAGUGCCCACUGCCUCCUGCUCUAUGUGUGAGACAGUGACCCCGCACUCCACCAACACUUGUCCUGGGUCCCCUCGCUCCCCCCGCUGUGCCAGCUGCCAGCUCUCGGCUGGGGCAUCGUCAUGACGCCCGUGUGCAGUCAUAGUCCUGGGCCUGGCUCUGCUCCCUCUCAGAGACCCCUUCUCCCAGCAGUGCUGCCUGGCUAACUCCUGUGCACCCUUCCAGACUCAGCUCAGGUGCCCCAAAGUUGAGGUGACCUCAGCAGGUCUGUGGAACAGAUGCUGCUGCUGCUGCUGCUGCUGCUGCUGCUGCUGCUAAGUCGAUUCAGUCGUGUCCGACAUAGACAGCAGCCCACCAGGCUCCCCCGUCCCUAGGAUUCUCCAGGCAAGAACACUGGAGUGGGUUGCCAUUUCCUUCUCCAAUGCAUGAAAGUGAAAAGUGAAAGUGAAGUCACUCAGUCGUGUCCGACCCUCAGCGAUCCCAUGGACUGCAGCCUUCUAGGCUCCUCCGUCCAUGGGAUUUUCCAGGCAAGAGUACUGGAGUGGGGUGCCAUUGCCUUCUCUGGUGGAACAGAUACUAGCCCUCUAUUUCAGAGAAAAGGAACCUAGAGGACCAACCUGCAGUACCCACCCAGGUCACACAGUGACCAGUGGCCGAAGUGGGUGAGGAGGAGAUGCUCCGUCCUCCCCUGCUGCCCUGGCUGGGAAGUGGGCUUGCUCCACUGGUUGGGGGUGCUCCCAGCCGGCAGCUGAGAGGUCUUCCCUGGGUGACAGGGCCCUUGGCUGCUAUGGACUCUGGACUCUGUGUCCGUUCUCCUGAGAUGUCCACACACGAUUGUUCCAGGUCAGGGAAAAAGCACCUACUGUGCGCCUAGGACUGUGCUCUGAGUUCCGUGCUCUGUGUGAGACCCAACAGCCAUAGUCCCCUUUCUCAAGAAGAAGGCAACUCUACUGUUGAGACACAAAAUCUCGACACGCGUGACUCUGACAGAGGGUGGGUGUUAAAGAACAAACACCAGUGCUUCUCCACCUUCCCGGUGCUUAUGAAUCACCUGGGGAUCUUGCUCAAAUGCAGGUUCGGUGGGUCUGGGUUCGGAGCUGAGACUGGCAGAGGCAUUUCUAACAACCUCCCAGAUGGCCCUGGUGCUGCUUGUCCUCAGGCCACACUUUGAGCAGCAAGGCUUUGUAUGGUCCCUUAUGACAAGUGAGAGGAGCUUGGGUGGACAGGUCCUGCAGGAGGUGUGCUGAUGCCCAGUUCUGAGGAGGGGAGGGACAUAGGCAUCUUCAGUACAGGCUCUGGGAGUGAGGAGUUGCCUGCCUUGCUUAGUCGCUCAGUCGUGUCCAACUCUUUGCAACCCCAGGGACUGUAGCUGGCCACGCUCCUCUGUCCAUGGGAUUUCCCAGGCAAGAAUACUAGAGUGGGUUGCCAUUUCCUCCUCCAGGGGAUCUUCCCAACCCAGGGAUCGAAUCUGUGUCUCCUGCAUUGCAGGAGAGAUUCUUUAUCUGCAGAGCCAUCAGGGAAGGAGCAAGAGGUUAUGGGGCCACAGAAGAGGGCCCCUUGUGGCCUGGUAGAACACAUUUUCAGCUGGGACUGGAGGCAGAGUAACUGGUCCUGAUCAUGGGACUGUGAGCUGAUCGCUUCCUC
ensembl:lncRNA